GCGGAAUGCUUUACACAUGCAAGUCGAACGGUAGAGGGGGCAACCCCUUGAGAGUGGCGAACGGGUGAGUAAUAUAUCGGAACGUGCCCAGUCGUGGGGGAUAACGUAGCGAAAGUUACGCUAAUACCGCAUACGAUCUAAGGAUGAAAGCGGGGGAUCGCAAGACCUCGCGCGACUGGAGCGGCCGAUAUCAGAUUAGGUAGUUGGUAGGGUAAAGGCCUACCAAGCCAACGAUCUGUAGCUGGUCUGAGAGGACGACCAGCCACACUGGAACUGAGACACGGUCCAGACUCCUACGGGAGGCAGCAGUGGGGAAUUUUGGACAAUGGGCGAAAGCCUGAUCCAGCCAUUCCGCGUGCAGGAUGAAGGCCCUCGGGUUGUAAACUGCUUUUGUACAGAACGAAAAGGUUUCUAUUAAUACUAGGAGCUCAUGACGGUACUGUAAGAAUAAGCACCGGCUAACUACGUGCCAGCAGCCGCGGUAAUACGUAGGGUGCAAGCGUUAAUCGGAAUUACUGGGCGUAAAGCGUGCGCAGGCGGUUAUAUAAGUCAGAUGUGAAAUCCCCGGGCUCAACCUGGGAACUGCAUUUGAGACUGUAUAGCUAGAGUACGGUAGAGGGGGAUGGAAUUCCGCGUGUAGCAGUGAAAUGCGUAGAUAUGCGGAGGAACACCGAUGGCGAAGGCA
rnacentral:rRNA from 1 species